AGAGCUAACCUAAGUUCUGGGUGGCUGUGGGGAGAGCCCGGUUCGGGGUUUGGUGUGAGGGAGCCCCGCCGGCCGGGCCUCGCCGGCGCAGAACGCCCGCGCCGGUGGAGGAGCUUGAAAAGAGGGCAUCGAAAGCAGUGAAACCGAAAUUAGUUUGGGGUUUGGGUUUGUUUUUUUCUUUUUUCUAGGGGGACAGUUUUAAUCUGUAUCGCGGCUUUUGUCAAACACUCAAAAGGUUUAAAAAGUUCUAAGCUUUUCUAGGUUUUUUUUUUGUACAUAGAAGUUGAUUCCACAUGUGCCUGAGUGUCAGAGAUCGUGGUCCUACUAUCCAUUUCUGAUCUGGUUCCACCACCUGUAAAGCUUCCCUCUGAUAAAGAAUCAUUCUUAAGUCACUGAGUUCAGGCCGUGUUUAAUAUUACGGUUUAUCACCGAGGUCCUGAACUGUCAUAGAAAUCAUGGCAAUUUGCAACUGAGCAAUGGCCAGGGCCCCCAGUGGGGUGAUCUGGAUAUGUCCGAGUACCUCUAUUUUUCAAGACAAAAGAUGAGAUCAUAGCAGAUUAGAGAAUUACAUCUGUUAAAUUUUUAUUUUUUUAUUUAUUGAUAUAUUUAUUGCCCUCCCUAACCAAGAAAUUCAAGUCAAGAAAGAUACAUGCUACAGUAGUAGUCUAGUUUUACUUGCAUAGUUACUGGCCUAAAGAAAUGGGAUCAUGAGAGGGUAUUACGCUGUAUGGAUGUGCUGUGAACUGUUUCAGCCAUUUGGCUUCACAAGCUAAAGGAUUUUGCCAAUUCCCAGUGGCUACAGAUGCAACCUGCUACCCCGCAGGCUGUGUAGGAGUCUCAGCGGGACCUUCGAGACAUCCACUCUGCCUCCAAACACUCUACCCUACAUGUGCAGAAGGCCCUGGAGCAGACGCCAGGCUGAAGUAUAACUGGACUGCUCUACAACAGAAAGUGUGGAAAGGGAGAGGAAACAGAGAUGUGACUAUCUACAGCUGUCCGGUGCUUCCUGCCCCCAAAUCACACCUGGAAUAUCAUGAAAUAAUCGAAGCUGAACUGAAAAGCUGGAAAGCCUUGGGUAGAGGGAGAAGACAGCUCUACGUGACUGUGCAGGGAAUGGGGCGGGGUGUGCAGGAAGAGAAGCAGCAGAAAGCAAGCAGGCAUCCAGGGGAAGCACUCUGUGUAGCACAGGCAACACUUCAGACCCUAAAUCACUCCUGCCUGGCCUUUAUCUCCCCGUGUGCCUGCACGUUCAUGAAUGCUGGCUGUUGGCAGCGCUGUAACCUGACACAAAAAUAUUGCAGCUUGGCACGUCUUUUUCCAGUGGGUAUGAGAGGAAGGAAACUCUGCCUGAUCACAUACAAGAUACAGCCAGAAAUGUUAGCUGCUAAGGGAACAAAUGACUCCUUGCACAAAAAUGCACGGAUCCAGUCAUCAAAGCAUGCUUUAACUGAGGAGUGCUGUCCCGGAGGAUGGAGGAUGGCUGCACAGCAGUCAGGUUGCGCAGCAACCCCCUCACUCAGUGUGCCCUGCCAGGGUCGGAGUCCGGCGGGAGGAGGUCGGGCGCUGCCAAAAAGCUGGGGCAUGUUAUAGGAGUUGCAUUUGUUGCUGUGGGAACGAAGCUGGCUCUGACUGUGAUUGUGGGCAUCAGUGUAGGCUUUUCCAAGAUGGAUUUGGGUGGGGGAUUCCUCUAUGACGCGAGAAGUUUACUCAUCUGAUAGAUAACCUGCUGAUGAUGAUGUCCUGUAAAGAGGAGGGCCCUGGGCGCUGCUUGUGUUGUAGAGAUUUGGAGGUGCACAUCAUGCCUGAGGGUGUGAGGGCACUGUAGCCCCAUGCUGCAGGGUUUUGUGAGGCUGGGCCUCGCAGCCUUGGGCCACCGCCUCGGGAAUGGUGCUUUCCCAGGCAACUUGAGGGAGCACAUCGCGGAGCGCUGCUAGCGCCAGGUAUUGCCAGUGAUUGCCUCCUUUCUACCACGAAGGUCUGGCACUGUCACCCCCGUGCCACGCCGACUCCUCCCAACACCGAGAGAACUGGGAUAAAUCAACACAGAAUAUGGACUUGAAAGUGCCAUGGGGAAUGCUGUAACAGGACCACAGCGGUAUGGCCAAAAAGCAUGGGAAGCUGGGACCAGAAUUCAUAACAAAAGUGCCAUAGUUCUUCAGCGAUGAAGCGCCCAAUGUGGAAGACACAGGACGGCGUUUGGGAGAGGGGCUAACCACCCGCAGCACCCGUUGCCUCCAGCUGGGACUGCGAGCAUUUAAAACUUUUGGAAAUCAUAUUCCAGCACGGGGACACUCCUGACGGCUUCUGCGGGGCCAGGGUUUCACCUGAAGGAUCAGAGCUGGAGCACUGAGAAAAUAAAUAAUAAACAAUAGUGACCAAAACCGUAAAGAUGAGUUUAAAUUAUUUGCCAGCUUCGCAGAGGAUACCCAGACAACAGCUAGGAACAACGCCAUUGCCUUCAACAUCUUGAGUACAAAUCCAGCCUCUCCCUGUUUGCCAGUUGUGGGACCUGCUUCAGAAAGUGUUUCAGUGCAUGAGGAAUGCUACCUCAUGGGUUUGCUGGGAUUUCUUUCCCUUGACCCUGCAACUACCAGUACGCUACCAGAAGGGAUGACCUAAAGUUACUGAAUGGGUCUGUUCAGUCUAAAAUUCAGUGUCAGACUAGUUUUUAACUGCCACUGAUUGAUUCUGGAACUGCUGGUCCUGUGUUCAAUAAAAGUUAAGAUUUCCAGUGUAUCUUGAGCAUAAUGUAAGCCUGUGGCAUCCUUUUCAAAUACAUUUCUCAAGAUAAAAAGAGCAGAUAUUGUCACAUGAAUAGAUUUAAUUUAAAAUGUUUAGAAUAAGUUUUUAGAGACAAUUUCUCCUUUAAUUCACCUCACUGAAGACUGCAAAGUUGAAUGAUGCUGGUGAAAAAAUUUGAACUGAACUAAUCUUGACCAUAGCUAUUUCCAUUUUUCUUGAAGGCUGUAUUUUAAGUAUUCUAUGAAUGGCUUAUAUUCCCACUGCCUAAAUGGAUUUCUGAUUUUCCAAAGAAAAAAUAAACUAAUUAUUUAUAAAUACCAUCAAAAUUAGCUCUCCAAACAAUGACUGUAAUUGCUGGCUGAAAGAAAUUCCACAGAAAAUCUCUCUGAUUUUCUUUUUUUUUUUUUUAAAGGAAGACCUAAUGCAAACAUGACCUAGAAAACUGCUUGGGAAACAACAAAAAAAAAGGAUGAAAGGAUGAAACAGCUUGUCACAUAAUCAAACUGAUUAUGCAUUGUGUUUUUGAAGCAGAAGCUCUAAAGGGAGACAUGAUAAUAGGCAUGCAUUCCAGAGGGCGUACACAUACACACAUGAGACCUCAGAAAUGUAAUCUUGAACAGUUAAAAUCAUAUUUUACACUUCAAUUCUGUAUUAGCAGCAGUUCUAGCAGUUCUUGUAUGACUUGGAUAGGAUAUUGUUCCACACUAUAGAAGAACCUCUUAAAAGACAAAAAAUAAAUUCUGUAAUAUUUUCCUGA